GACGAACGCUGGCGGCGUGCUUAACACAUGCAAGUCGAACGGAAAGGCCCUUCGGGGUACUCGAGUGGCGAACGGGUGAGUAACACGUGGGUGAUCUGCCCUGCACUUUGGGAUAAGCCUGGGAAACUGGGUCUAAUACCGAAUAGGACCACGCGCUUCAUGGUGUGUGGUGGAAAGCUUUUGCGGUGUGGGAUGGGCCCGCGGCCUAUCAGCUUGUUGGUGGGGUAAUGGCCUACCAAGGCGACGACGGGUAGCCGGCCUGAGAGGGUGACCGGCCUCACUGGGACUGAGAUACGGCCAAGACUCAUACGGGAGGCAGCAGUGGGGAAUAUUGCACAAUGGGCGCAAGCCUGAUGCAGCGACGCCGCGUGAGGGAUGACGGCCUUCGGGUUGUAAACCUCUUUCACCAGGGACGAAGCGUAAGUGACGGUACCUGGAGAAGAAGCACCGGCCAACUACGUG
rnacentral:rRNA from 1 species